rnacentral:tRNA from 3 species
UCCUCAAUAGCUCAGUUGGUUAGAGCACCUGACUGUUAAUCAGGGGGUCGCAGGUUCAAGUCCUGCUUGAGGAG